GGGGCUGUAGCUCAGUGGUAGAGCACCUACCUUGCAUGUGUGAGGCACUGGGUUCCAUCCUCAGUACCUCA
rfam:Ictidomys tridecemlineatus contig015474, whole genome shotgun sequence.